AUUGAACGCUGGCGGCAUGCUUUACACAUGCAAGUCGAACGGUAACAGGCCGCAAGGUGCUGACGAGUGGCGAACGGGUGAGUAAUGCAUCGGAACGUGCCCAGUCGUGGGGGAUAACGCAGCGAAAGCUGUUCUAAUACCGCAUACGAUCUAUGGAUGAAAGCGGGGGACCGUAAGGCCUCGCGCGAUUGGAGCGGCCGAUGUCAGAUUAGGUAGUUGGUGGGGUAAAGGCAUACCAAGCCAACGAUCUGUAGCUGGUCUGAGAGGACGGCCAGCCACACUGGGACUGAGACACGGCCCAGACUCCUACGGGAGGCAGCAGUGGGGAAUUUUGGACAAUGGGCGCAAGCCUGAUCCAGCAAUGCCGCGUGCAGGAAGAAGGCCUUCGGGUUGUAAACUGCUUUUGUACGGAACGAAACGGUCUGGGUUAAUACCCUGGACUAAUGACGGUACCGUAAGAAUAAGCACCGGCUAACUACGUGCCAGCCGCCGCCGUAACAC
rnacentral:rRNA from 1 species